AGAUUGCCUCCGGGUCCAAUUUCCAGCAACAGAUAUGAUAGCAAUUCAAAGAGAGCAAAGAAAAUACACCACACCAGCUGAGUGGCGUUUUAACGAUAUCCUUGAGUUACUUAAUGACGUCAUGGGGCAGAUCUCUAAUCUAGUACUCAAGGGAAAAAAAAAAAGGCAUACCUGCAAUCUAACUCAAAUGAUUUUGUUCGAUAUACUGGGACUAUUGAAAAUCCAGACAUCGAAGGCUGACCUCAAGAAUGCAUUUGUCGGGAACCACCGUGAAAGUUUGUGUGCAGGCGCAAGUCUCACCUGCUUCUAAGGUGAUGACCCGGCAAGGUACAAUUGUGUGAUAGUGUGAUGGAUCCAGAAAUUUCUACGCACGCUUACGGAAUAUAGAACUAUUUUCUUUGGAACACAAAUUAUUUUCUAGCUAAAAUGCCACACUGAGUACCGUUGCCAUUACAAACCGACUGAUGAAUGUAGUUUGCACAAUUUGAGAAGGUGGCAAACAAAACAAGACUCGCUCCUCAGAACUCGACGCAUUUAUUCUGUCCCAGUUGUCUUCCUCCUCCCAAUCAACUCCUGGAUAAGCUCCCCAGCGUCGGCAUAAGAUGAUCCACCCUCCUCCACUGCCCUCCUUCCCAUCUCCGCGAGCUCCCUCGCUCUCCUCCU
rnacentral:lncRNA from 1 species